rnacentral:lncRNA from 1 species
CUGAAGGCGUAGAUGUGCCUGUCAUACCUCCUAUUUCCUACACCCCCGAAAGGGCAUAAAGGAGUUUGUUCAAUUAAAGGACAAUCAAAACGGGAUUUGUUUAAAAGAUUCAGAGUCACCACUGGGGAUAUUUCUGGUGUCCCAAGUAAUUGGUUAAAUACCGACGCGAGGAAAAGUUGACUCUAUUUAACAGUUCGUGAACCAGAAAUCCGAGCAAGAAAAUCUGUUAACCCGGAAAAAGAUAUUAGGCAUUCCCCGGUUCCAUUGUUUACCACAGUCGCUGAAGUGUUAUAUCUGACUAAUUAUCUGAUUUUAUACAAUUAUAAACCUAUGGACAAAUUUUAGCUUUUAACCACUUUAAUUCAAUUUUAAUGAAUGUUGAUCGCUGUU